rnacentral:tmRNA from 1 species
GGGGCUGAUUCUGGAUUCGACGGGAUUUGCGAAACCCAAGGUGCAUGCCGAGGGGCGGUUGGCCUCGUAAAAAGCCGCAAAAAAUAGUCGCAAACGACGAAAACUACGCUUUAGCAGCUUAAUAACCUGCUUAGAGCCCUCUCUCCCUAGCCUCCGCUCUUAGGACGGGGAUCAAGAGAGGUCAAACCCAAAAGAGAUCGCGUGGAAGCCCUGCCUGGGGUUGAAGCGUUAAAACUUAAUCAGGCUAGUUUGUUAGUGGCGUGUCCGUCCGCAGCUGGCAAGCGAAUGUAAAGACUGACUAAGCAUGUAGUACCGAGGAUGUAGGAAUUUCGGACGCGGGUUCAACUC